GCGAGCCAGGCUUUCUGGGAAGCAGGAGCCAGGAGGUUCCCAGAAGCCAGCCUGCCGUGUGAGGACAGCAGGGUGGGGAGGCGGGCGGCUCAGCUCUGCUUCAGCCUGGGCUUUUCGCUUCUUUGGAAAUUCCUGGCACGACAGGAGUGCUUGGGGAAUGGGUCUCCGCUCAUUGGGCGUGCUACACUGCCACUAGGCUUGUCACGCCCACUGUUGGCACACAGGAGGAUACACGUGGCCACAGAGUCACUCCAGUGCGCGCCGUCCCCUGGAGGCAUGGAGAGGCUCCUGCGUGCAGGUGCUGGACUGCUCACGGUACCCCGGAGCCUCGGAUAUACCCCCACACCCCGCACGUCUGCCUGAACACGGUGGCCACCCUGGGUCCCCAGACCCGGGAGCCUGCUCCCUCAGGGCCUGCCCCACGCCUGCUUCUGGCAGGGCCGGUGAGAAGGGAAGGGGGAGACGUGUGCUUUGUGCAAGGAUCUCCUGGCCCCAUGUGGCUGUGUAGAAAACUCCCUGAAAUCCUGCGGAAAUACAGUCCUCUGCUGCAGGGUGGGGGCCGGCGGGGGAUGCGGCCAGCUCGGCCUUUCUGCCCUGGGCGCUGCCUGCCUCCCCGGCCGCUCACCUCGCUCUGCCGCCUGCAGCUGUCACCUACCUGUCUGGCCACCCAGUGCCUCAGGCCAGGUGGACGACCUCACCCUUCUACUUCAGCCCUGAACAACCAGAGGGCCAAAGGGCACCCCAGGGCACCUUCCUGGGCAGCACACCCUAGAACUCUGGCCCCAGGGGGUAAGGUGAUCCGGGUGGAGUUCGCCUUCAGGUAGCGCCGGGCCAUCUACGCAGCUUCUCCGGGGGUGGGGUGGGGCUGUUUCCCCACCUAGAAAACCACGUGGAUUCGACUCAAGGCCAGCCCCCUGCUCCCCAGGGGUUGUCAACACCGCCUGUCUUCACAGCUGGUGGGCCACCCCAGCAUCUGCCUUCCUCGAGGGGGAAGAGACAUUUCCUGCCACCUGCGGGGGGUUUGCGCUGCAGACGGUAGCGGGGGCUUCCGGAGCAUUUCACACACCUGGGCAUCCCUGAGUCCACGGGGGAGUUGAGGGAACCACCAGUCUGGGAUCCUGAGAGUCCAAGCCUGCGCUCUCUCUCCCCCUAGACCUCCUGCAUGCUGAGAGCUAUGGACAGAGAGCUUCAAGGCCGGGCUCCGCCCUCCCCGGCCCACCGGGUGCAGUGGGCGGCAGCUCAGGUAGUGGCGGUUCCCAGGGCUUAAACAUCCUGGUCCCGCCCUCCCAGCUUUGACGGCGGUUACAGGCAGAGGACCGCAGGGGACAAAGGAAGGCCUGCACGCCACAGGAUCUCCAACGUGGUGGGUAGGUUUCUGGGCUCAGAACUCAGAAGCCACGACCACAGCCUCCCCAGCCCAGCAGCGCACACACAGGUCAGGUGGGCACACCAGGAACCCCAGGCGGCACGCAGAGAAGAUACGGUCCGCCCUCCCCAAGGGAAUGCAUUCCUGAUCCCAGCCCAGAAAGAGGGAAGAACCCGGGUCCGGCAGGCGGGGGAUAGCGCUCCCACAUCCUAUCAUCCGCCACCGUGUGGCCCUUCCCCGUCACCCUCCCCAGCUGCAAGCCUGGCUGAGGCUCACCUCGUCCGCCCGCAGGCUCGGCGGGACCACCAGCAUGAACUCGGGCAGGGGCUGCACCCUGCCUGGAGCGGAGGACAGGAGCGCGCUGCCUGCUGUCGCCCUGUGCCCCGCCUGCAGCGACCAUGGUCUUCGCUCCGGGCAACGCCCGGCCCGGGGCCAUUGUCUGCACCGCCCUCGCCCCGCCCCUCCUCCCGCCGCGCACGAGUGAGGGGUGGCUGGCCAGAGUGGGCAGAGACGCGCCGCGGGAGCAAUGGAAGCCAGCCCCGCCGCCCCAGAUCCAACGUGUGGGCCGGGCACAGGGCAGAGGAUGCCACCCAAGGCCUGAGGUGGGCACGUCCUCUCCCCUUUGGACAGAGGGUGCCUGGGAGGCUCAGAGGGCGGGGUCAUGGCCCCAGACCACAGAGUGAAGGAAUGGUCAAGGUCAGACUAGAAUCCUGGUUCCCUGAGGGCACUGGGGAACCCCUGAGAUCACCAACGAGACCACGAAUCACUGCCCUUCCCAGAGCGAACAUCUGAGGGUACCUGGGCCUCACAGGCUUCCCAGCUCCAAAAUCCACCCCCUAGGGCAGUCUAAACCCCAAAGCCCCUCUCUCCUCCAUUCCAAGGCAAGGCAGGGGGUUCCUUGCUCCCUCCCUGUGGAGACAAUCUGGUCUGCGUGCUCACUGCUAGGGUCGGGGUCAGUGCCCAUAAGCGAGAGUGGGCCCUAACAGAGCCCACAAGGCUGGGGUUCCUUCUUCUCCACUUUGCUCACAGUGGGAGGAAAAGCAAGGCUCAGGGGUUUCAGCGCCCAUUCAAGGAUACUCGGUAAUAAGCAUUGCACUGGGAUACGGACACAGGUGUCCCCCUCCGAGCCAAUGGCCUUAACCGUGAGGUCACCUGCCUCCCCCGGGCACCCAGGUGUGAAGCAGGCCAAUGGAGAAGCAAGCUCAGAGGCCAGUCUGGUCCAGACCACCCCAAAGCCCCAGUAGUGACAUGAUUUAUAUAUAGCCCAGUGUUCAUGCACCGAAUGGUGAACACACAGGCAUGGGGGAAGAUGGGGCCACAGAUGGGGAAACUGAGGUUGGCGACUUGCCAAGGUCGACAGAGCUAGUCAGCCUCAGCUGGCCCGGACAGAACCGGAGUCCCCUACUGUGGGGCUCUAACCGCUCCACCCUCCCUGGACCCCAAGCCCAGCUUCUUCCCCGGGCUGGCAGCCUGCUCAUCUACUGUGUCCUCUGACCCUACAUUUUCUGACACCACGCCACUACGGCCACCACCGACCACUGACGGGGCUCAGGUAUCCAGGAAGUAGCUUCUGUUGCUAGGGGGACGGCAUGACAGAAGGUGGCUGACUGGCAGGGUGGAGUCAGGGGGAGGGAGAAGCAGACUGGGGUUUCCCUCAGGAAGGAUCUAGGGCAGGGGCUGUGGGUGACCGUGGAUCAGACCCUACAGCUAGGGUCUCUACUGAGGCCACUGGAAAGCCCUAGUCCUGAGCCUUCCUGCCUGCAAGUGUUUGGGGGCCCGCGGUUGCCAGGCAACGGCUCCAGGUUGCAGGUUGCCAUGGGGACUCUCCCUCCUUCUGGAGCUUGUCAUUUUCGGGGGAUGCCCUCUCUUCUCCACCUCCUCACUCUGGCUCGGCUGCCCUGGGAGGAGACGUCUCGGUUCCAGAAGCUCAGCCCCAACCCCACGGAGACGCACCCAGCAGCGACCCUAAGCAAAGAUUCGGAGGAUCAAAACCUCAGAACUGAGAAAACACAGAGCGCAGAGCCCAAGGCCUUCAUUAGAGCGGGGGGUGGGGGGGUGGGGGGGGAGUGGGAGGCUAAAGGGGCUCAUUAACUCUGUUUAUGUCUCCACGCCCACUGUUAACCAUCACCUUGGGGCCUGUCCAGCCCUGACAUGGGAAGUUCAUUGGAAUCACAAGGAAUGUGGUGCCAGCCCCUCGGCCCAGCACCCCCUCCCCGGGCUUGUCUGCACACUAGGACAUGUUUCCACCGGCCCUGCCGCGACCGUUCACCGUCCAGUGCCUGAGUUUCCCCUUCUGUGUAUGCAGACGGCAGUGGUACCCACGUUGCGGAUACAAUGCGACACCGCAGCCCAAGGCCAGGCUCAGGGAAGGCGCCACAGGCCGGCUGCCCACAGCACCUGCGGACGUGGGGGAGGGUCUGGGAGUUACUGUGCAGGGCACAGCCCAGUGGCUGGCAUGCUGCUGAUGGCCAAGUGGCGACCGACCCCAGGUCCCCAGCCGUUCUCCUAGGACUACUCUCUGUCCUACACCCCCCAUUCCUGUAUUUCGUCGCCGUGGUCUCGUCUUCUCCGCCAAGGCGACCCCUGCAGAGGUUCUUGGUUAGUAUCCGUUGUGGGAAUUAGUCAGUGACCCACGGUCAAGGGCUAGCGGCCUCAGCCUCUUGGGACCCGGGAGUGCCCAGGGCUACAGUAAGAAACUGCCCCACUUCUGGGGCCAGGAGCAGGCUGGGCACUUGGCUUCAUUUCCCUGAUGCCCCUAGAAGCCCCAACUGUCCCGUGGGGAGCCCGGGGCCCCUCUCCUCAGCCCAAGGCGGCCCUCUCCAGUUUGUAGGAGGAUGGGGCAGAACCCCACCAGGUGAGCGGGGAUGGGGGGGCUCAGGCAGCUGCUGCCGUCCCUUGGGCAAGGUCUCUGGAUGGCUGGCUUCCAAGUGCCGCCAUCAGACACAGCCGCCCUGGCCAGCAGGAACCGGUGAGCUGCCAGGAAACCACAGAGGGUAACCAGAGCUGCCCUGCGAGGAGCCCCUGAAAACGGCUGCGAAGGGACAGCUUGGCUUGCGGGUGAAGAAGGAAACGCCGACUCCCCACCCGCGCGGGGGCCUGGCCCUGCUAGGUUCCCGGGCCUCCCCUCCGGGGCACCGCCGAGUCACUACCGUGUGGCCCCACCUUAUUUGACUUCCUCUGCGGUGUGUGUCACCCCUGAAAUGACGAUGCUGCUGUUGUGUUUACAGCUGAGUGUUGUCUCCUCGCAACUGGAAGGUGAGACCUUUGUCUACCGGGCGGUGCGCGGAGCUGGGCUGGGGAAGCGGCAAAGGGGGGGGUCAUGGCGCCACCUGCUGUUCCUGAUGGCACACCACAGCCCGCCGCUGGCGCUGGGGGCGGGGAGGGGGGGGUCUGCCCCAGAGGGGUACCAGCGAGUUCCCCACACCCCAACUGCUCUCCCCAGCCCCCAGCGCACCUGGGUGCCUAGUCUUCAGGGUGAGAAUCACUCCAGUGCUCCUACUGUGGGUUGAACUGUGUCCCCAGAAAGCAAACCCAACACCCGUGAAUAAGCCUCACUUGGAAACGGUGUCUUCCUGCAAGUCACCGGGUUAGGAUGGGCCUCACCCAGUGACAGGUGUCCUUACAAAAGGGGAAAACUGGACACACACACGCAGAGGAGGCUAUGUGAAGACCGAGGCAGGGUUUGGAGCAACGCACCUGUGAGUCCAGAAAUGCUGUGGGGGGUUGGCACCACCAGAAGUUGGAAGAUGUAGCUCUAGAAGCUACAUCUAGAAGCUCUCCCAGAGAACUCCUGACACCUGAUUUGGGACUUUCUGCCUUCAGAACCAACAGAGAAUAAAUUUCUUUUGAGCCAAA